CAUCUGAAUGCACAUACAAGUGUCUCUAAAGAGUGGAAGAACAACCAUCAUAGGGGUGGUGUACAAUGAAUCUACUCAUUUAAAAAUCUGUUCCCUUAUAACCAAAGGCCACCCAUCAAAAAUCCUCUCCAAGCUAUGGGUUGUUUUAUUCAGAUGGCAUGCUUCAUGACAUCACCACUGUGUCAAUGUGUUCGGUUGCGAGGUAAUCCUGAUAUGCAUCAUACAUACAUCAUCCUCUUGUCUUUUCCAUGCUUAUUUUUCUUAUUUUUCUUAUUUUUCUUCUCUGCUGAUGAAACAAAUUCAUGGGAGAUUGAUACAGGAUCAGGAUUAAUCUGUGGUAAAGGCAGACAGCCUGACGUCGCCUCUGACAUCUCCCCGGUCUGUCUUCCAUCUGUGUGCUUCGGGGCAACUGAUUCCUUGUUUGUUUUUCUAUUUAUUUUCUUCUUCUUCUUCUUCUUCUUCUUCUUCUGUGAAUCUGUUUCUGUGUAUUGGGUCAUAGAACUCUGGGUCGUUUCAAUUAGCAUUGCAGUGUUAUCAUUUAUUUUCUUCUUCUUCUUCGACUCUGUUUCUGUGUAUUGGGUCAUAGAACUCUGGGUCAUUUCAAUUAGCAUUGCAGUGUUAUCAUUUAUUUUAUUUUUCUUCUUCUGCGACUCUGUUUCUUUGUAUUGGGUCAUAGAACUCUGGGUCGUUUCAAUUAGCAUUGCAGUGUUAUCAUUAUCUUGAUGUCCUACCGCUGGUACUUCGUAAUCAGUGGAUUUCCUCCUCUUUGUCUUUUUCCUCUUUCUCUCUGAGGAUAUAAAGGCACUUUCAGCUUCAAGUCUCACUUCAGCAGAAUUUUUUACAGUUGCGUUCAUCCUCUGAGAUAUUUUAGUUGCAUCAUUUUUCAGUCUUCCCUCAGGAUCAUGUUUGGUGAGGGAAUUCUUAUUUUUCUUAGUUUUUCUCUGAGAAACUGUGUCAUCUGGAGUCAAAGCAGAACUCUCACACCCCUCCAAAGAUAUGCCAAUAAUCUCUUUUUCCAGUGGAGCUGCUGUAUCCUGGUGUAUGACAGAACAAGUGUCUUUAGACUCAUCUCGCUUUUUCUUCUUCUUUCUUGGGCUAGUGAUCUCAUCUGUUUCAGGUGGUAUGCUGUCCUUUUGACAUCUCUCCUCUGUGCUCAAAGGAGUUACUACAUACCCAUCUUUCUUCCCCUUUUUUCUUGGUGGCACAGUGUCAAUGGAUUCAGACACAGAACUCUUGAGGGAGAUAUGAGAUUUUUGAAUAUUAUCCUCUUGUUGUUGAACAACGGCGCCAUCUUCAGUUGAAGAUAUCCUCCUCUUCCUCCGCUUCUUCUUGGGGUUCUCUUCCCGUCUUAGGCAUAUAUCUGUAUCAACAUGGCAUGGUGAAUCCCUCCUCCUCUCCUUUUUUCUCUUCUUUUUCUGUGGCAUAAUCAUUUCACCAGACACGGACACAGAAUGCUCUGCCUUGUUAUCCUGGGUUAUCUCAGUAGCCUCUCCUCCCUGUAUGGUGCUUGUACUCACACAGGUGACUAGUUCCUGAUAAUCUGGAGCUUCUUGGCAUGGAGGCUGCCCAACUCGGUCCUCUAUACUUUCAUCAUCUCCUCCCUCUCUUUUCCUGUUCUUUUUCUUCCUCUUCUUUCCCUUCUGUUCAUAGUCUCCCCCAGCAUCAACAUUUGUACAGUCAUUUGUGAGCGCUGGAUCUGUUGAAGGGGGGUUGUGACCUUUAAUUCCAGGAUCAGCCUCUGUUUCUCUUGUCUGGUUCUGAUGGUCACGAUCAGGGCGCUGCCCAGUCACACUGGGGGUCAUGGCUCUGCCUUGGGUCCUCUCCAAACAGCUUCCUUCACUUUCCUGCACUUCAUUAAUAGGUGAACUCGUUAUGUCCACUGCCUGGUCUAUUCUACUCCCCUCUACUUCCUCACUGACAAAUCCGAUAUUCAGCAUUGUCUUCCAUUCUGUCAAUGAAAUGUCCAUGUUGUCGUUCUCUUCCUGUCCGUCUGUAUUGUCAGCUAAAUGUAUACCAGGUUCUUCUGUUUUAUUGCGGACUAAACCCCUACCAGAUGAACAUCUCCUAACGCAACUGACUGACUCUGGGUUAGUCUCUUCUUCUGCCAUGUUACAUUUCUCAGGUACGAUUCGCUGUGACCCAGCAAAACUCUGCUUUGAUGGUGUGUCUUUAAUCAUUUUGGAAACCAAGGAAAGAGUUUGUUUAACGUGAGGGAGGUGUUGUGUUUUCUUUGUGCUCUGUUUCUUUGUCUUGGCGGUGGAGUCUUUGCUUACAGAUGAAAAGUUUCUGAAUUGCUUUUCAGCUUCAGAUGAUGGAUAACACCAAGUUUGACUAUUUUUCUUUUUCAGGAAUAGCAUUAAAAGUUUAUUUUCCUGUAACAAAGAAAUGUUGAUCAAAUGAAAUAGCAAAUCAUUUGACUCAUGAUGCAAUGAGAAAAAGAGCCUAGAUAAAAUGUAAGAUUAUUUGAUCAUACUCACCACCACUCUGAUGUCAUCAUCACUACCUUCAGAUUCCACCUCCUGUCUGUAGGUCCAUAGAAAAAAUACAGCAUUAUACACCUCAGAAAUAUACAAUCAUUAUAAAGAAGCUCCAAGGAAGAAAUGUGUUCUGCCCCGUUUCAUAGCUCAAAUCUACCUUAAGAGCACUGACCAUCUCCAGCAAUUACAACCUUUUCUUAUUUCAAAAUGUAGAGCUGUAGAAACCUUACUCUGACAGUGGAGACAGUUCACCUUCCUUAUCCAGAUAUCUGUUUGGUAAAGCUGAAGCUAAAGUCGCUUUUCCUUUAGAGAACUUCUUCAGUGUUUUGACACAUCUAAAAAAGCCUCCAAUUGCCUUACUCUAUUGGAAACAAAAGGGAUUUAAUGUCAGUGAGACUGAGAAGACAUUUAGAAGCAUAUGACACAUGAGUUACCCACAAAUACAUUAGGCCUAUAUAUGAUCCAAAUGAUAAGUAUCAGAAGCUGCACUUUGUUUUAUUUUAUGAAGGAUCUUUUUUUUACAAUACGAAUUUGACACAAGAAGUGUUGCCUACUUACCGAGAAGGCCACACCAUUUAAUAGUGAUAGGUGUGUGUUUCUGUAAGCACACUCUCGACUAGAUAGGGGUUUACUUCUGUAAACGCUCCCCAGAAAGGGAAAGGAGUACUUUUUCAGGCCAUGCUUCUCUGCUUUCCUCUUGUGAUGUUUCAUUGCCUGUGAGACCUGCUGCUUCCUUUGGGGAGUGGCAGGUCCAUCUUCGUCCCCACUCUCCUCCUCUGAUUCUAUGGUACAUGUGAACUCUGACCUCUCCUUUGAGUGGCAUCUUCUCACAGACCUCACCACCUCAGACACUGGCACUUGAGUUAUGAACAGGCUGUCCCCUGAAUCCCU
ensembl:lncRNA